UGAAUAAAAGCUUUAUAGAAGCGUUUAACUGUUGAUUGAAAGAUGCAAAGUGAUUUGUUUAUUCAG
rnacentral:tRNA from 1 species